GAUGAACGCUAGCUACAGGCUUAACACAUGCAAGUCGAGGGGAAACGGCAUUGAGUGCUUGCACUCUUUGGACGUCGACCGGCGCACGGGUGAGUAACGCGUAUCCAACCUUCCCAUUACUGUGGGAUAACCUGCCGAAAGGCAGACUAAUACCGCAUAGUCUUCGAUGACGGCAUCAGAUUUGAAGUAAAGAUUUAUCGGUAAUGGAUGGGGAUGCGUCUGAUUAGCUUGUUGGCGGGGUAACGGCCCACCAAGGCUACGAUCAGUAGGGGUUCUGAGAGGAAGGUCCCCCACAUUGGAACUGAGACACGGUCCAAACUCCUACGGGAGGCAGCAGUGAGGAAUAUUGGUCAAUGGACGGAAGUCUGAACCAGCCAAGUGGCGUGCAGGAUGACGGCCCUAUGGGUUGUAAACUGCUUUUGUAUGGGGAUAAAGUUAGGGACGUGUCCCUAUUUGCAGGUACCAUACGAAUAAGGACCGGCUAAGUCCGUG
rnacentral:rRNA from 1 species